AGAAAGGGGGGGCGGGGCUAAUAAUGGCAAGUCGAGCGGACAGAUGGGAGCUUGCUCCCUGAUGUUAGCGGCGGACGGGUGAGUAACACGUGGGUAACCUGCCUGUAAGACUGGGAUAACUCCGGGAAACCGGGGCUAAUACCGGAUGGUUGUUUGAACCGCAUGGUUCAAACAUAAAAGGUGGCUUCGGCUACCACUUACAGAUGGACCCGCGGCGCAUUAGCUAGUUGGUGAGGUAACGGCUCACCAAGGCAACGAUGCGUAGCCGACCUGAGAGGGUGAUCGGCCACACUGGGACUGAGACACGGCCCAGACUCCUACGGGAGGCAGCAGUAGGGAAUCUUCCGCAAUGGACGAAAGUCUGACGGAGCAACGCCGCGUGAGUGAUGAAGGUUUUCGGAUCGUAAAGCUCUGUUGUUAGGGAAGAACAAGUACCGUUCGAAUAGGGCGGUACCUUGACGGUACCUAACCAGAAAGCCACGGCUAACUACGUGCCAGCAGCCGCGGUAAUACGUAGGUGGCAAGCGUUGUCCGGAAUUAUUGGGCGUAAAGGGCUCGCAGGCGGUUUCUUAAGUCUGAUGUGAAAGCCCCCGGCUCAACCGGGGAGGGUCAUUGGAAACUGGGGAACUUGAGUGCAGAAGAGGAGAGUGGAAUUCCACGUGUAGCGGUGAAAUGCGUAGAGAUGUGGAGGAACACCAGUGGCGAAGGCGACUCUCUGGUCUGUAACUGACGCUGAGGAGCGAAAGCGUGGGGGAGCGAACAGGAUUAGAUACCCUGGUAGUCCACCCGUAAACGAUGAGUGCUAAGUGUUAGGGGGUUUCCGCCCCUUAAUGCUCAGCUAACGCAUUAAGCACUCCGCCUGGGAGUACGGUCGCAAGACUGAAACUCAAGAAUUGACGGGGGCCCCACAACGGUGGAAGCAUGUG
rnacentral:rRNA from 1 species